rnacentral:rRNA from 1 species
ACCAGGCCCGGACACUGGAAGGAUUGACAGAUUGAGAGCUCUUUCUUGAUUCGGUGGGUGGUGGUGCAUGGCCGUUCUUAGUUGGUGGAGCGAUUUGUCUGGUUAAUUCCGAUAACGAACGAGACUCUAGCCUGCUAAAUAGGCGACGGGUUUUAUCCGUCCGUCGCUCUUCUUAGAGGGACAAGCGGCGUCCAGCCGCAUGACAAAGAGCAAUAACAGGUCUGUGAUGCCCUUAGAUGUCCUGGGCCGCACGCGCGCUACACUGAAGGAAUCAGCGUGUUUUCCCUGUCCGAGAGGACCGGGUAACCGCUG